UGGGGAAUUUUGCACAAUGGGGGAAACCCUGAUGCAGCGACGCCGCGUGAUUUAGAAGGCCUUCGGGUUGUAAAAAUCUUUUCUAUGGGAAGAAAAUGACAGUACCAUAGGAAUAAGGACCGGCUAAUUACGUGCCAGUAGCCGCGGUAAUACGUAAGGUCCGAGCGUUGUCCGGAAUCAUUGGGCGUAAAGGGUACGUAGGCGGGUAAGCAAGUUAGAAGUGAAAUCCUGUAGCUCAACUACAGUAAGCUUUUAAAACUGCUCAUCUUGAGAUAUGGAAGGGAAAGUGGAAUUCCUAGUGUAGCGGUGAAAUGCGCAGAUAUUAGGAGGAAUACCGGUGGCGAAGGCGACUUUCUGGCCAUAAUCUGACGCUGAGGUACGAAAGCGUGGGUAGCAAACAGG
rnacentral:rRNA from 1 species